UGAUGCAUGAGUGAAUAGUAUACAAAUUUGCUUUGGCUUGCAUGAGGGUGAGAGAUGUCCACAUGGGUUUCUGAACACCUGCAUGGAUUUAACUUCCUAAGGCAUUGAGUUCUCAGAAAAAUGAGGGCAGAUAGACAGGAAGGAAAAUCAGAGUGAGAUGGGCAAAUUGGCAGGAAGGGUCUGGGUGGGAGCCAUUCUCCACCUGGGCCACUGGAGUAGUGCUGAAGGAAUACUCUGAUGGCCCAGUUAGGUUCUGGUUAUCUGACCUGGUAGGGCUGUAUGGCACAGCAGUAGAGGGACAAAGUGAAGGGGACACCUAGGAAACUCUUCAUAAGCUCUCCUAUUUUUGAUGUAGACAGUAGCUCUUGGCAUAGAAAAUCAUUCCUAGCAUUGGAGGAUGGAAAGUUAUAUCGCUCCCUUUCAGCUUUCUUUCCACUAGAAUCAUGUGCCAUCCUAAUACUUUAUCCAAGUCCUGGUUACCAGUGAGCGGGCCAUGAAACAGAGAGGCCCAGCCUUGCCCUUUGGAGAAGUUUCUAUCCUUUCAGUGAAUUGUUGUCAACAAUAGCGCUGGGCUCAGCAAAUUCCUUGGUAGGACUGAGACAAGGAUGGGUCACAGAGAUAGCCUGGCUGGGGCUCUCUGCCAAGUGCUGAAGGUGUUGUAAGAAAUCCCUUCUUAGGCGUUGCUGAGUCAGCGUGACCACACUCACCAGGAGGAAAUACUGGCAACUCUGAAGGAAUGAAUAGGGCUUUGGGGGACCCUGGCCUGAGUCAGAAGUGAUGCUCCCCACCUUGUUUGAAUUCUGGGUGUUCAAAGAGCCUGACUAUCACCACACAUCGCCUUGGGUGUGAUCAGCAUCAAGCUAGUUCCUAAAAUAUCAUCACUGGACCCAAUCCUUUCCCUUUUAGUCUUUCACUAUUUGAAGCCUGAGCCCUUUUUCUGUAUUCAUGCAAGAGUGGCCUUGGGGCCUGUCCCUUGGUCAAGUGGUUAAGUUCACGGGCUCCACAUUGGUGGCUCAGGGUUCACCUGUGUGGCUUUUGGGCGCAGACCUACACACUGCUCCUCAAGUCACACUGUGGCAACAUACCACAUAUAAGGACUAGAAGGCCCUACAACUAGGACAUAUGACUAGGCACUGGGACUUAGGGGAGAAAAGAAAAAGAGGAAAAUUGUCAACAGAUGUUAGCUCAGGGCCCAACUUCCUCACCAAAGAGGAUACUUUAAAAAAAUAAUACUGCCCAGCUCUGGUCUCACCUGAAACAUGCUAGCCAAGAGCCUAGUCCUCCAUCAACUUCUGGGUAGUUUCAGCCCAUGGCAGAAUCCUGGGUGUGUGGCUGCUGCAUGGAGAUGGGGGAGGGGUGGAGACGGGGUGUUAAGGAGAGUAGUAGAAUGGUAAGAAGAGGACAGAAAGGGAGCCUUAGAGGAAAGUUGAUGACAAAUAUGCCUGAGUUCAGUGUGUGCUCCCUGCAGACCAGAAAUCUACUUUAGCUCCAGGUGAGGUUGAUAAGCAUGAGCUUCUCAUGGUUUUACAGCUUCCCAGUCUAGUCCGUAGUGACUUUAAUGCAUAGUCUGCACCUGGAGAAAGAGUGGGAGGAAUUGUGUCCUUUUGCACUAGAUGUCAAUGUGCAAAACACUAAUUCCAGAGCUCUGCUGCUGAGGUUUCCUUAAGAGAGAAGAGUGUGGAGCAAUGCAAGGUGGUGGGGCUGGCCUCUGGGAUGAUCAGGAAGGAAUUGUCUCCUGGAGGUGAGCACCAUGAUGUCUGGAAACCUUUCCCGCAGGGCAACUAGAGGCAGAGAGCUGCCUGGGAAGUGCUGACAGGCAGAGAAAGACAUGGUAGUGGGACAUGUCUGCCCUGGGUGUUUCCUGGGACUGAGUCCUGAGACUGGGCUGUGCUCUGAGGCUCUAAGGAAUUGCCGCAGAGAGGAAGGGCUGAAUGGGGGACUCUGUGACUGCUCUCUCCCCCCAAUCAAGUAUUCUUCCAUUUUGCCAGUGCAAACAUUUACUAAAGAGACGUUUCUCCUCCCGAGCAUGCUACUAAAGGAGAAUUCCUCUGGGUAGAUGAUAGCAAAUACAGAGAGUGCCUGGGUAUUCUCAAAGAGGUAUUGUUGAUUAAAAUUUUGUUGAUACAUGGCUUACAUUGAACAGUAGACUAAUGACUUUCUGAUAAGUGAAACCCAUAAAAUAGUGUUCACAUUUAACAAAGAAUUUCUCUUUAUCAUCACUCGGAUUUGACAAAAUACUUCCUCAGUGAUUAUUCCACGUAAGAGAACAGAAACUGCAUAAGUGCAGAUGGUAAAUGUCACACUGCAAAGAGUGACUUACACUUUUUUGUUUUUUUUCAAUUAUUUUUUGAAUAAUUGAAAUAAUUAUUUUUGAAGUCACCAUGGUGUAUAACAUUGUGUAAUUUCAGAUGUACAUUAUUAUUGAUUGGUUUCUAUAUAGACUGUCAGAGUAAUUCACAUUUUGAUGGAGCUAGAAAAAUCUGCCAGCUCAUUCUAUAUACUUACCUUAAGAAAGUUUUUAAAGCAUGAUUUAAAUUAAGUGACUUCAGUAAUCUUUUCUUUGAAUAUGGGCUAAUCUUUAGGCUAAAAGUCAUUUUAUUUUGGCGAGCAUUUUGUGUGGAGUUUUGUGUAUCUUCAGAGCAUCCAAACAAGAAGCAGGCCCUCCUCACAUUGACAAUGAGAGCUUUGGUCCACAGUACGGUGGGGAUGGUGUGGUGAAGGAUUUAGGAGAAGGACUCUGGCUGUGAUGGACACGUGGGUUGCUUCCAUCUCUUGGCCAUUGAGAAUAGUGCUGCUGUGAACAUGGGGGCAAAGGUGAACCACAUUGUGCAGCCUCACUUGCUCUUGGGCGUGGCUGUGUGACUGUUGCCACAAAUGGGAUGUGAGUGGAAAUGCUGUGGCACCUUCCAGACCAGACCACAAAUACCAUCCUGCGCUGACCAUGUAGACUCCUCCCCUUCCAGGGUUUGAUGCAGGUGAACAUGGGGAACACGGAUGCCACCUUCAGGGGAGUGAUCCUGGUCUCUGAUCAUGGAGUGACCACAUAAUUACUGCCAAACAAGGACACUUGAGAGUAAGAGGGUCAGCACUCACCACGAAACUCCUUUUGGACUGUGUGUGAGCAAGAACUAGACUUCUCUUGUGUUAGUCACUGAAAUGCUAUAGUUUAUCAGUUAGAAUAAUUAAAGUUAGCUAACACACGGACCAUCUUACUGAAGCCUACCUUUUUCUGAAUUGUAAUAUUUAUAAAAAUAAAUUUAUUUUAAUCAUUA